AUAGCUGCUAUUAUACGAAAUGCAGAGGAGCGCAGAUAUUGAAGAUAGCGAAAUUGCAUUAACUGCAAGCUGACUAGCAGCUGCUGCCAUAUAAAGUGCAGAGGGGCGCAAAACCGAGAUAGCAGAACUGCAUUAAUUGCAAGCUGACUAGCAGAGCACAUCAACUGCGGCAAGGAGAUUUAGCCAAGUGGGCUGCACAGCCAAUAGGGCGGAUAUUUAAGUUAGUUUUUAG
rnacentral:sRNA from 1 species